GGAAAUGUUAUAAAUAAAAGUACCAGGAGGUUGCUAGUGUUGUUGUAAAAUGUUUGCUUGAAGAAAAUUAAUGACACUUUGUUUAAUAUUUUAUUUACAGCAUUGACAUUCACUGUAGGAUUGUAGGAUGGAAAGUAUAUGGAUGCUGUAGUGCUGUCCUCAUUAAAUGCUGAGAUGCGGGAUGCUGAAGACUGCUGGAGUUUGCAGCUUCACAGAUGAGCUGCUGAAAAUGCAGUGUCACCACCACAUACACACACACACUGUUAUGGAUGCAUGGAGACACAAGAUCUGAGAAAGUUUGUGUGCUUUAAUGGAAGCAAGAAGAUCGGACUAUAAUUUACCUGAUAAUUGUGCCUCUAUCAAUGUGACCUGGAUAGAUCUACAAAGUCUGACGUGGCUAUAAGCUCUUUUACAGCGAAAGCCAAUUUACAGUCUGAUUAAAGCAGAUCUGUCCACCCAACACCUGAAAGAUCUGGCCUGCAUGGACAAAUACCUGAGGACAUUUCAUUAUCCAUGCAGAAAGCGGUGAGAUGUUGGGCAGAUUAAAAUCCUCUGGCUUUCAAAAUAGCUGUUUGAUUCAAGAUUUGCCAAAUGAAUAAAACACUUUACAUAAGCACCAAGCAAAUAAUUGAGAUUACAGAAUAAGAG